rnacentral:rRNA from 1 species
CAGUCGCCACGGGAAUACGGAGGGGGCUAGCGUUGUUCGGAAUUACUGGGCGUAAAGCGCACGUAGGCGGCUUGGUAAGUUAGAGGUGAAAGCCUGGAGCUCAACUCCAGAAUUGCCUUUAAGACUGCCGAGCUAGCAGGUGAGAGAGGUAAGUGGAAUUCCGAGUGUAGAGGCGAAAUUCGUAGAUAUUCGGAAGAACACCAGUGGCGAAGGCGGCUUACUGGCUCAUACUGGACGCUGAGGUGCGAAAGCGUGGGGAGCAAACAGGAUUAGAUACCCCUGUAGUCCCUGUCUCUUAUAC